AGCUGGGCCCUGUUUCAGAAAGCGGGUUUAGAAAACUCAGAGUUAAAAAUGAUACUCAGGGUUGAGUAACCCCGAACUGUCCAACUCGGAAUAUUCGGUUUCAGAAAGGCUGAUAACAAUUAGUUCAAUCAACGCGGAGUUGCUUUAACCCCAAGUUAAGCGCACGCAUAAAGCCCUGAUUAGUGGAGCACAGAUUAAGCGAGUCACCAUGGAGACGGAGGGAAAGAAGGCGCGGCCAAUGUAUUUUACAGCGCUUGAGGCCGAAAUUCUGAUGGCAGCAUAUGCCGAUAACAUGCAAAUUUUGCGGAAAAAAAGUAACACAGCCUCAGCUGCAAAAGAAAGGGAGCAUGCAUGGCAAUACAUAGCCGACAGAGUCAAUGCGUGAGUGUUAAUUUAAACAUUGAUCUAGGGAUUUCCACCCAUUUAACACGUUAUUUUAUUAUAUUUCAUUUUAUUUUUUAUUUUAUACAUUUUAUUUUGUGAUGUGAUGUGAGCGCAGGUGCAACCCAACAGGCCCCAAACGUUCCUGGCAGCAAGUAAAAAUGAAAUAUAAAAAAUGUAGAGGAAGAGGGUCCAGCCACUUCUCCAACAAACCUUUCCUCACUCCCUGUAAAGCAGCUGUACAAGACCUGUUUGAUCAAGAAAAUAAAAAAAUGCUUUUUGGAAAUGGAACUCUUCAAGCAGCAGAAUGGAAUGUGAGUGCCAUCUAUACAGCCAAUCACGCCUGGGAACCCUGAAAAUAAAUGUAAAAUCUAAGUAGUAGUUCAAGUAUCACCACAUCAUGAAUUAAGUUUUGUUCAUCCUGAUACCUGCAAUUUUGUGGAAUCCCUCUUUGAUAAAUCUUGUGGGUCUAUGACCGGGGAACACCACAAACGAGUACAGGAGACGUUUCAGUGCAACUGUAACAUUCCUGACUGCCCGACAGACGGUAGCCUUGGAAACGUGCUCAGCGUCACCAAUAUUAUACAGAAAGCUCCCGUUUGCAAAAAAA